rnacentral:rRNA from 1 species
GAUGAACGCUGACAGAAUGCUUAACACAUGCAAGUCAACUUGAAUUUGGGUUUUUAACUUAGAUUUGGGUGGCGGACGGGUGAGUAACGCGUAAAGAACUUGCCUCACAGCUAGGGACAACAUUUAGAAAUGAAUGCUAAUACCUGAUAUUAUGAUUUUAAGGCAUCUUAGAAUUAUGAAAGCUAUAUGCACUGUGAGAGAGCUUUGCGUCCCAUUAGCUAGUUGGAGAGGUAACAGCUCACCAAGGCGAUGAUGGGUAGCCGGCCUGAGAGGGUGAACGGCCACAAGGGGACUGAGACACGGCCCUUACUCCUACGGGAGGCAGCAGUGGGGAAUAUUGGACAAUGGACCGAGAGUCUGAUCCAGCAAUUCUGUGUGCACGAUGAAGUUUUUCGGAAUGUAAAGUGCUUUCAGUUGGGAAGAAAGAAAUGACGGUACCAACAGAAGAAGUGACGGCUAAAUACGUGCCAGCAGCCGCGGUAAUACGUAUGUCACGAGCGUUAUCCGGAUUUAUUGGGCGUAAAGUGCGUCUAGGUGGUUAUAUAAGUCUGAUGUGAAAAUGCAGGGCUCAACUCUGUAUUGCGUUGGAAACUGUAUAACUAGAGUACUGGAGAGGUAAGCGGAACUACAAGUGUAGAGGUGAAAUUCGUAGAUAUUUGUAGGAAUGCCGAUGGGGAAGCCAGCUUACUGGACAGAUACUGACGCUGAAGCGCGAAAGCGUGGGUAGCAAACAGG